rnacentral:lncRNA from 1 species
UGAAUAGUGUCGUAUACGUGAAUAGUGCCGUAUACGUGAAUAGUAACCCCGACACAACAAGUUCCAAAUUUGAUAAAAAAGUUCACCAAUACUUCGGCAUAAUGAUAUUGAAGAAAAAAUAUCAUUUAAGAAGAAAAUAAUACCCCUUACCUCAAAAUAACCGUACUUCUGACUGAAUUUCGGUAUAGUGCUGACAGAAACCCGCACCGUAUAGCAACACUCAAAGUAUACUCACAAGAAUACGCUCGAUAAUUUAGAGAGAGAAAGAGAGAAAACUUAGUUUCUGGUGUGAUUUUUAAUUCUAACUUAGCCCUCUAUUUAUAGGAAAAUGUCAGAAUGCCAAAGGAGACUAAAAUAAUAAAAUAAUAUUAUUAAUUUUCAAAUUUUCUACGCAUGCCUCCACCAACCAAGCCAGCCAAAUUAGAAGAAAAUAGCAGCCCAUGUGUUCAACACCUACCAAAAGUGGGUCCCACCCAUUAAUUUAAUAAAAAUCAUUUUAUUUUCUGAAACUUCAACAAUUCGUAGAAAAUAGCUCGGUUAUCAGAAAAAU